ensembl:lncRNA
CCCCACUAUCAAUAUCCUGCACAAGAGUGGUCCAUUUUUACAAUCGAUGAACCUACAAAUGGCUUUUUAUUUUCUCAAUCAUAAUACUCUGAGAAUAAGGUAGCAGGUCAAAGGGGCACAGCCGCAUCUUAACCUUUCAUUAUCUCUUCAAGAUGCAGGAGCUCCUUGGAAUUGGAUGGACUGGUUAGAAUAGUAUAACCAGUGUGUCCUGUCUGACUGUCCCUUUUCUUGUCUCUUCUCCUUUAUGAAGUUCUUUAAGGGCCUCAAAAUGCAGAAAUGCAGCAGGAACCCGACAAUGGGGUGGGAGACAAAGCCAGCUUCAGAGAUGCCAGUGUUUACGCUGAAGGGACGUGGGCAGAAUCCGCCAACAAAUAAUCACACCAGAGUCCAUUGAGCCCGAGCGAGGUCCCAGUGGGAGUGGUGAAUGAGUAACUAGUGUCCCCAGCAGCCCUCUUCAUUCUGCAUGAUAGCACAGAAUAAACCAUGCUGGGGCUGCAACGAUCCCAACCUCCAGUUAUUGUUUCCUCAACCCAGCUGCCCCAGGGCCCACUCCUCUGGCCAGCACUCCGGCACAAGCGUGUAGAAUCAGGCAGGAAGACGUGGCUAAGCAUUAACUUUCAAAUUCAGCUCUGCCCAAAUUAAAGAGAGGGACGGGGUAUAGAGAGUUCUCAGACCCGUGUCUGGAUGGUCAGCAUAUUCCACGUUGAUUUCUUUUUUGCAAGGUCACCAUGCUAUUAGUUAUAGAAGUGAUAAUAUUAUUUCUUCUCUCCAAACAACCAGAUGUUUUAAAAGUUAAUAGAAGUGGAAUUUGAACCUGAGAUGUAAAAAUGAGCCAAGAACAAGGUCUCUGAAAGCCUCCUGGUAACUUUUGCCUAUUGAUCUACUAAAAGAGGGAGAAAAACAUCAUAAAAACAAAAGAUGAAGAGGAAAUCUUCAUUUUUUUAGACUUUUCCAUCUUCAUGUCUAUUGUCAAGUAUUUUGUCAAGAAAUGCAUUAUAACCUCAUUUUAAAAAAUAAACAGAACUUAUGAAGCAAUUCUCUUGGAGAAUAACUGGAGUAGUUUCCAGCGAUGUUUCAAAAGACAGACUUACCUGCCUGAUGUUUUUGUAGGUCUGGUGAUGGUCUGUGUUCAGCUGGGCAGAAUAAAACAGCCCCAACAGACAGAAGACACCUCACCCUCUGCCUUUCACUUAGGCAAAGUGGACAUCUGAUUUACAGAACUGGGAAACAAAACACGCACACAAAACCUAGACCUCUUUUGGCUUACCGUAUGUUGCUUCAUCAUCAACUGGCUCAUUUAACCAUGAAUGUGAAAGGUUGAAAAGCUUAUUUAAAUGUGGGCUACUGAACUUUCCUGGGGCUACAAGAACUGAUAAUUUGUUCAACCAUUACAUUCAGUGAAACUCUCUUUUUUAAUGAACCGUGUUUCACAUUACACAAACGGGACCAGAUUGGCUGGAAAGGGCAGGAGGCUGCCUGUGCAGGCCCACAGUGAAAGGGGGCCAGUGUGAUUGCAGACAGGGUCCCCCUCUGCUGGAAAGCUUCCAAUUCUCUAACUACCAGCAUCUUCCAUUUUCCCUAUCAGCUAGUUUUCUCCUGUGAUAAUUUUUCUACUUUUACCUUGUAAACCAAAAAUCAAAUUCAGAGCCCCCGACCAUCUGAAUUGACCCCUCCUCUUGGCAAGGGCAUUCCAAAGCUAACCUGAAAAACUAGCUCAGGCCAUGAUGGGAAAGAGGACCUGGACAUGCCUCAUUAUGCCCUAUUCCCUUUUGGAAUUACUGAUAGAACAGACUCUUUAAGUCUCAUGAGAAACUGGCCACGCAUGGUGGCUCAGGCCUGUAAUCCCAGCACUUUGGGAUGCUGAGGUGAGCAGAUCACCUGAGGUCAGGAGUUCAAGAGCAGCCUGGCCAACAUGGUGAAACCCUGCCUCUACUGAAAAAUACAAGUUAGCCAGGCGUGGUGGCACACACCUGUAAUCCCAGCUACUCAGGAGGCUGAGACAGGAGAAUCGCUUGAACCCAGGAGGCAGGGGUUGCAGUGAGCCAAGAUCAUGCCACUGCACUCCAGCGUGAGUGACAGAGUGAGGCUCCAUCUCAAAAAAAAAAAAAAAAAAAAAA